GACGAACGCUGGCGGCGUGCUUAACACAUGCAUGUCGAACGGAAAGGCCCUGCUUUUGUGGGGUGCUCGAGUGGCGAACGGGUGAGUAACACGUGAGUAACCUGCCCUUGACUUUGGGAUAACUUCAGGAAACUGGGGCUAAUACCGGAUAGGAGCUCCUGCUGCAUGGUGGGGGUUGGAAAGUUUCGGCGGUUGGGGAUGGACUCGCGGCUUAUCAGCUUGUUGGUGGGGUAGUGGCUUACCAAGGCUUUGACGGGUAGCCGGCCUGAGAGGGUGACCGGCCACAUUGGGACUGAGAUACGGCCCAGACUCCUACGGGAGGCAGCAGUGGGGAAUAUUGCACAAUGGGCGGAAGCCUGAUGCAGCAACGCCGCGUGCGGGAUGACGGCCUUCGGGUUGUAAACCGCUUUCGCCUGUGACGAAGCGUGAGUGACGGUAAUGGGUAAAGAAGCACCGGCUAACUACGUGCCAGCAGCCGCGGUGAUACGUAGGGUGCGAGCGUUGUCCGGAUUUAUUGGGCGUAAAGGGCUCGUAGGUGGUUGAUCGCGUCGGAAGUGUAAUCUUGGGGCUUAACCCUGAGCGUGCUUUCGAUACGGGUUGACUUGAGGAAGGUAGGGGAGAAUGGAAUUCCUGGUGGAGCGGUGGAAUGCGCAGAUAUCAGGAGGAACACCAGUGGCGAAGGCGGUUCUCUGGGCCUUUCCUGACGCUGAGGAGCGAAAGCGUGGGGAGCGAACAGGCUUAGAUACCCUGAUAGUCCACGCUGUAAACGGUGGGUACUAGGUGUGGGGUCCAUUCCACGGGUUCCGUGCCGUAGCUAACGCUUUAAGUACCCCGCCUGGGGAGUACGGCCGCAAGGCUAAAACUCAAAGGAAUUGACGGGGCCCCGCACAAGCGGCGGAGCAUGCGGAUUAAUUCGAUGCAACGCGUAGAACCUUACCUGGGUUUGACAUGGAUCGGGAGUGCUCAGAGAUGGGUGUGCCUCUUUUGGGGUCGGUUCACAGGUGGUGCAUGGCUGUCGUCAGCUCGUGUCGUGAGAUGUUGGAUUAAGUCCCGCAACGAGCGCAACCCUUGUUCACUGUUGCCAGCACGUUAUGGUGGGGACUCAGUGGAGACCGCCGGGGUCAACUCGGAGGAAGGUGGGGAUGACGUCAAGUCAUCAUGCCCCUUAUGUCCAGGGCUUCACGCAUGCUACAAUGGCUGGUACAGAGAGUGGCGAGCCUGUGAGGGUGAGCGAAUCUCGGAAAGCCGGUCUCAGUUCGGAUUGGGGUCUGCAACUCGACCUCAUGAAGUCGGAGUCGCUAGUAAUCGCAGAUCAGCAACGCUGCGGUGAAUACGUUCCCGGG
rnacentral:rRNA from 1 species